UGAGGAAUCUUGCGCAAUGGGGGAAACCCUGACGCAGCAACGCCGCGUGAGUGAGGAAGGUCUUCGGGUCGUAAAGCUCUGUCAGGCGGGAAGAAAUGCAUGGAGGUGAACAGCCGCCAUGCUUGACGGUACCGCCAGAGGAAGCACCGGCUAACUCCGUGCCAGCAGCCGCGGUAAUACGGGGGGUGCAAGCGUUGUUCGGAAUCAUUGGGCGUAAAGAGCGUGUAGGCGGCCUGGUAAGUCAGAUGUGAAAGCCCUGGGCUCAACCCGGGAAGUGCAUUUGAAACUGCCAGGCUCGAGUAGGGGAGAGGGGAGUGGAAUUCCUGGUGUAGAGGUGAAAUUCGUAGAUAUCAGGAGGAACACCGGUGGCGAAGGCGACUUCCUGGCCCUAUACUGACGCUGAGACGCGAGAGCGUGGGUAGCAAACA
rnacentral:rRNA from 1 species